UGGCGUAGUGCGCAAAGCCUCGGCCUGCUAAGCCGAAGGUCCCGGGUUCGAUCCCCGG
rnacentral:tRNA from 1 species